rnacentral:rRNA from 1 species
GAUGAACGCUAGCGGCAGGCCUAACACAUGCAAGUCGAGGGGCAGCACAGGUAGCAAUACUGGGUGGCGACCGGCGGAUGGGUGCGUAACGCGUAUGCAACCUACCAUUGAUUGGGGCAUAGCCCGAAGAAAUUCGGAUUAAUACUCCAUAAUAUUCAUCAAAGGCAUCUUUUAUGAAUUAAAGCUUUUGCGAUCAAUGAUGGGCAUGCGUGACAUUAGUUAGUUGGUGAGGUAACGGCUCACCAAAACGAUGAUGUCUAGGGGUUCUGAGAGGAUUAUCCCCCACACUGGUACUGAGACACGGACCAGACUCCUACGGGAGGCAGCAGUGAGGAAUAUUGGUCAAUGGACGCAAGUCUGAACCAGCCAUGCCGCGUGCAGGAUGACGGCCCUAUGGGUUGUAAACUGCUUUUCCACGGGAAGAACCCUCCGACGUGUCGGAGACUGACGGUACCGUGGGAAUAGGGAUCGGCUAACUCCGUGCC